rnacentral:rRNA from 1 species
CGAGAGUGACGGUACCUGCAGAAGAAGCACCGGCUAACUACGUGCCAGCAGCCGCGGUAAUACGUAGGGUGCAAGCGUUGUCCGGAAUUAUUGGGCGUAAAGAGCUCGUAGGCGGUCUGUCGCGUCUGCUGUGAAAACUCAGGGCUUAACCCUGAGCUUGCAGUGGGUACGGGCAGACUAGAGUGCGGUAGGGGAGACUGGAAUUCCUGGUGUAGCGGUGAAAUGCGCAGAUAUCAGGAGGAACACCGGUGGCGAAGGCGGGUCUCUGGGCCGUAACUGACGCUGAGGAGCGAAAGCAUGGGGAGCGAACAGGAUUAGAUACCCUGGUAGUCCAUGCCGUAAACGUUGGGCGCUAGGUGUGGGGCUCAUUCCACGAGCUCCGUGCCGCAGCUAACGCAUUAAGCGCCCCGCCUGGGGAGUACGGCCGCAAGGCUAAAACUCAAAGGAAUUGACG